rnacentral:rRNA from 2 species
GGACUACCCGGGUAUCUAAUCCUGUUUGCUCCCCACGCUUUCGUGCAUGAGCGUCAGUAUUGGCCCAGGAGGCUGCCUUCGCCAUCGGUGUUCCUCCACAUCUCUACGCAUUUCACCGCUACACGUGGAAUUCCACCUCCCUCUGCCAUACUCCAGUCACGUAGUUUCAAGCGCCAUUCCCAGGUUAAGCCCGGGGAUUUCACGCCUGACUUGCGCAACCGCCUGCGCACCCUUUACGCCCAGUAAUUCCGAUUAACGCUCGCACCCUACGUAUUACCGCGGCGGCUGGCAC